CGCACAUUGCGCCCUUUGGUAUUCCUUAGGGCAUGCCUGUUCGAGCGUCAUCCAAGCACUCAAGCGCUGCUUGGUGUUGGGCGCCUUGUCCCGCCUCGUGUGUGGACUCGCCUCAAAAGCAUUGGCAGCCUGUGUAUUGGCUUCGAGCGCAGCAGACUCGCGCCUCGCAAGCCCAUGGCACGGGCGUCCAUCAAGACACACCCCAAAGUUUGACCUCGGAUCAGGUAGGGAUACCCGCUGAACUUAA
rnacentral:misc_RNA from 1 species